CAGGGGUGGUGGUGGGGCUUCCUGGAGUGCUGCUCGGCACCCGGCUUCCCUCGCGGCGGGGCGGAGGUCGCAGCUCCCCGGCGGAUUCCGGUGUGCCCGCUCCCGCGGAUGCUUGGGCCUGGGAGGUGGAGGAGAGCAGAGGUGCAGAUCUGCUGCCCGAUUCUGGUUAAGGCGUGGCGCCCGCGCGGGCCCUUCGCAAAACGAGGGGUUUUGAAGAAAAAUCGGAAUCAAGUGUUUUUUACGCUGUCGCCUAGGGGCCCAGACCGCGAGAUCGACGGGACGCCAAGCGCAGUGCUGUCCCUUCCCGCCUGGGGGCGCGAGCGUGGGGAGCUGCUCAGCCCAAAGACACUACAGAGAUCAGCUGGGAGGAUAACUCUGCACACUGCACACAUUUGCUGUACAUAAUGAUGACAUUCAUCAUAAUAAAAGAGCUAUUUUAAGUUGAUCCACAUACUACAGCUAAACUGAACUUGGAGGAGCUCCUUCGCUAUCUUUGGCAUGUGUCUCUUGGAAAGCGCCUCCUCCUCAAGACUGCGGGAAGGAAGACUCCGCUGGGGAUGGGAGAGGGAGACCGAGUGGCUGUGCUCCUGGAGUCCGUGUCGGCACACUGAGCAGUCCUGUCAGGAACAGCAAAGCAGACUCAGAACCACAGCAGGGACCAGGUGAGGUGUGCUUGGAUGUUAUAGUUGAUGAUACACAGGCACAUUUUUUUUAAGUUCUUGAAUUUGCUUAUUUAAUGGCUUCACUGAACAUUCUUA
rnacentral:lncRNA from 1 species